GUCAUUAAGUGCUAUAUAAAGGUGAAGGUGUGCAUUCCUCUAAUAUUCCCAAAAUGGCUUAUUGCAAGGUUUCUACUACCACCUUUGCAUUUAUUUGAUUGCAUUUCUAUUCCUUGCAAGGAAUGUUGCUCCCCGUGAAAUACCCAACUACCCCAAGAAUAUUGCUACUCCUCGAGAAAUCAGUACCGGAUUUCUUCAAUACGGAGUGGAUCAGAUUGUAAGUCAUGGUCGUGAUGAUAUUUGAAGAGUUCUUCGAUAUUAUCACCAAUCACCUCCCGAUGGGCAGGGAAGAAGUCCUGGCGGGCACGGCAAAUAGAAGAAAAACGGUUUCAUUGUAGAGCUUUUGUACUCUUAGAUACCGCAACUACAAAGCUAUAUUCCUUUUAGUAUGGUGGAUGAUCUAAAAAGUCCGUGGAUGUAUAAUUUUCAAAGCAAGUGUGUGUUACUUGAGCUAAUAAUAUAGGGCAUCAUGGUUUCAGGUUCAGUGUAAUUUCCACUCAGCAAUAAAAUGACAUGGGUUACCUGAUUUCAUGUUGACAAUAUUUACAAAAUAAAUUGGCAUAUGGCAUUUUUAUGGAUU